UGAGUGAAUAUUGGGCAAUGCCCGCAAGGGUGACCCAGCAACGCCGCGUGGAGGAUGAAGGCCGUAAGGUUGUAAACUCCUGUUAGGAGGGGAAGAAUAAUUCCGACGACUCGGAACUUGACUGUACCCUCAGAGAAAGCCCCGGCUAACUACGUG
rnacentral:rRNA from 1 species